rnacentral:tRNA from 1 species
UAACUCAGUUGGGAGAGCAACUGCUUUGCAAGCAGAAGGUCGUUGGUUCAAUUCCGUC